CAGGUAGUAACAGAGAGUUUGAUCAUGGCUCAGAUUGAACGCUGGCGGGAUGUUUACAUGCAAGUCGAACGGCAGCACGGACUUCGGUCUGGUGGCGAGGGCGAACGGGUGAGUAAUGUAUCGGAACGUGCCUAGUAGCGGGGGAUAACUACGCGAAAGCGUAGCUACUGCAUACGCCCUUCGGGGGAAAGCGGGGACCUUCGGGCCUCGCACUAUUAGAGCGGCCGAUAUCGGAUUAGCUAGUUGGUGGGGUAACGGCUCACCAAGGCGACGAUCCGUAGCUGGUUUGAGAGGACGACUUCCCAGCCACACUGGGACUGAGAUGACGGCUCCAGACUCACGGAGGCAGUGGGGAAAUUUUCUGGACAAUGGGAAACCCUGAUCCAGCCGAUCCGGCGAUGAAGGCCUUCGGGUUGUAAAGUACUUUCUUUGGCAGGAAAGAAACGGCACGGGAUAAUACCCUCGUGCAACUGACGGUACCUGCAGAAUAAGCACCGGCUAACCACGUGCCAGCAGCCGCGGUAAUACGUAGGGUGCAAGCGUUAAUCGGAAUUGGUCGGGCGUAAAGCGCGCAGGCGGUUCGGAAAGAAAGAUGCGAAAUCCCAGAGCUAACUUUGGAACUGCAUUUUUAACUACCGAGCUAGAGUGUGUCAGAGGGAGGUGGAAUUCCGCGUAGCAGUGAAAUGCGUAGAUAUGCGAGAGAACACCGAUGGCGAAGGCAGCCUCCUGGGAUAACACUGACGCUCAUGCACGAAAGCGUGGGGAGCAAACAGGAUUAGAUACCCUGGUAGUCCACGCCCUAAACGAUGUCAACUAGCCGUUGGGGCCUUCGGGCCUGGUAGCGCAGCUAACGCGUGAAGUUGACCGCCUGGGGAGUACGGUCGCAAGAUUAAAACUCAAAGGAAUUGACGGGGACCCGCACAAGCGGUGGAUGAUGUGGAUUAAUUCGAUGCAACGCGAAAAACCUUACCUACCCUUGACAUGUCUGGAAUCCCGAAGAGAUUUGGGAGUGCUCGCAAGAGAACCGGAACACAGGUGUUGCAUGGCUGUCGUCAGCUCGUGUCGAGAUGUUGGGUUAAGUCCGCAACGAGCGCAACCUCGUCAUUAGUUGCUACGAAAGGGCACCUAAUGAGACUGCCGCGACAAACCGGAGGAAGGUGGGGAUGACGUCAAGUCCUCAUGGCCCUUAUGGUGGGCUUCACACGUCAUACAAUGGUCGGGACAGAGGGUCGCCAACCCGCGAGGGGGAGCCGUAAAUCCCCCAGAAACCCGAUCGUAGUCCGAUCGCAGUCUGCAACUCGACUGCGUGCAGUCGGAAUCGCUAGUAAUCGCGGAUCAGCAUGUCACGGUGAAUACGUCUCCUGGCCCUGUACACACCGCCCGUCACACCAUGGGAGUGGGUUUUUACCAGAAGUAGUUAGCCUAACCGUAAGGAGGGCGAUUACCACGGUAGGAUUCACGACUGGGGUGAAGUCGUAACAAGGUAG
rnacentral:rRNA from 1 species